AGGGACUAGAACCUCCAGCAACCGAAAGAAAUGGCUGGGAAGGUUGGAAAACCACAGACACCAGAGAAAAAGAGGAAAGUAUGGGCCCCUGUGUUAAGUGCUGCGGAGAGCAAGGAGGAGGAGGACUGGGAAGAGACCACUGUUUUAACUGACUGACUCAGAGGUCAUGCCAGGAUGGCCACUGGCAGCCUCACACCUACAUCAGCAUUAUUGCAGGAGCCUGAAGGAAAAGAGAAGGACGAGCCAAGAAGGGCCAAAGAAGGAGCUUGCUGAGCCACGAGGCUAGCACGUACAAAGACCUUGCAACAGAAAACCGGGCAGUGACAUGGUCUGAAUUACUCUACGAGAUCACUCCAGCUCCAUGGUUCUCGACUGGGGAUGGAUAAGGUGGUGGAGCAGAGCCACCAUCCUCCUGGAGGCACAUCUGGAAUGAUCUCAUGCACCCUAUAGCAAAUGAAGAAGGAGGAGGGAGAGCAGGAAAGAAAAAGAAAAGGAGACAAUGAUGAUGACUACAACUUCAACAACAAAGAAGAAGCCAUUUGUGGUCAGAAGAUGCCAGUGACAGGAAGAGGGAGGCUGCUACAGCCAUGUGGUGUUGCCUGCACAGAAACUGUUUUUCUCUGAAAGCAUAGAAGACUAAUGUCCUGGAAAUAGCAUCAGGAAAUGAAUAGGUUGCCGAUGUCACGAUACAUAAGCAGACACUUUAAAGUUGUCAUGGAGAAGUUGUGUCUUAGGGGAUGGCGAGGCUUGAAUUGAACCUAGAAAGUGACUAAGGUGAUAAGGCCUGUGGGCUUACUACUACGGAAUGGGAAUUGCAGAAGUCUCAGUGGGAGGACUGAGGCAAAGGAGAGAUGCCUAGUGGCACAUCAGACCCCACGUGAGGGAGAGUACCUAGAGCUACUGCCACCAAGAGAGGACAGAAAACAAAAGGGGUUCUGCUUAAGGGAUGUCAGGCCUGCGGAGAUCAGUGUCCAGAGUGAGUAGGUGGUAUCCUGCAUUAAUUUUAAUUUGGCAAUUCAGUUUGAGAGCUGGCAAAGAGGUUAAUGAAUUCUCAGGUCCUUUACACAGUAAACAGCAUCAAUCUCUGGAGGCUGGGAGGCCUUUCCCUAACUACAAAAGGGGCCGUCCCUCUUCCCCUAAUCCCAACUCCCCAAAGCCCCUACAUGACUCUGUUGUCUUUGAUCCCCAUUGAGACAAGCCGUGGAUAUAAUUGGACUGGGCAAUUUGGUAUUCCCAAUAGCAUUCAGUACUGACUUUCUUAUUCACUUUACUCCCUCUUACUUGGCACUGCCUGGAGGAAGAACUCAACAAGAAGGAAAAGGAUUCACCUCCUAACUGAUCUUGACAGCUCCAGCCUCUCCUUUCAGCUGUCCCAUAUAGGGCUUGCCAAGUUCAGAUUCAUGGUUCUCAAAGCGGGGUGAAACCCCAAGGAAUACUUGAGAUAAAACACUGUGGCUAUGGUGAGAAAAUGUUGGAUAGCUAUUUUUAUUUAUUUUUAUCUACAAAGAGAGAAAUUAAGCUUUGCUAAUAUUUAACAUGUCAAAUUUUAGUAUAAGUACAUAUAAUUAAUUAUAUUUACACAUGUUGGUGACGUAUUAAUAUGCAUAUUUUAAUAAACAUUUUGUUACUAAUAGGGUACAUGGUGAAAAAUUUAAAACCACUGUUUGUGGGAUGAAGUCCAGAUUCUUUAAAAAUUUUUUUUAAUUUUUAAACAUUUAAAUUACCAUACACAUCAUUCUUGUGUAUAUUAUUUUUUUUCACCAAGCCUCUGCACUAUCCCUGCCUUCUAUAGUCUCUGAUAGUACACUCGACAACAUCUUCCAAUCUUUCUGCUUCUGUUAUGAAGUGAAGACAUUUGGUAUUUAUUGGUAUUUAUUUAUCAUGCUAUGUCUGUCUUUUACAGUCUGGCUGGCUUCAGUUAGCAUUAAAUCUUCUAUAUUUAUCCACUUUGUAUCAAAUGACAAGAUCUCAUUUUUCUGAUGGCUAACUAGUAUUCUGUAGUGUGUAUCUGCCACAUUUUUUUCUAUCCACUCAUUCA